GACAGAGAUAAUGACAGAUGGAGCGGUAACAACUGUGCUGUAUCACGUACUGGCGCCUGGUGGUACAACUCGUGCACCUACUCCAAUCUAAACGGAAAAUACCUGGGAGACACAACUAGUUCCCAAGGUGUCAGUUGGUGGUACUGGAAGAACGCGCAUGUCUCACUCAAAUUUACUGAAAUGAAACUGAGGCCGUCAUCGUAAAAAUAAUACCAGUAUAUUACACCUGAGCUUUUACAAUUAAUUUUGUUAUGUUAUACAAUUGUACUUUAGUCCAAAGUAAAUUUUUUCUGCUGUUUUUCAUCAGUGCUCGGUGUCUCCCCUUCCCCGUCACCUUCCUCCAACUUUACGCUUGCUUUAAUUCUACAUUUUUUGUGUCCGGUUACAAAGAAAAUGAAAACAGUCCGCGUAGACAAGUAACCAGUGAGAAUUUCUCGAUUUCCUUUUGAUGUUGGAAAUUGUUGACAACUAUACUCCGUUAAAUAUUAACAUUAGUUUGGCUUCAAAUGCAUUGUAAUUUCCCGCGAAAGUAGAAUUGAAAACUUAAUACUUUGUGAAAUAUGAUUUUGUACUCUUUUAUCAUUUUCAAAGAGACCGACUCUGGGAGCCUUUUUCGUCCUCAAACCCCUGAAUCCUUUGUUUUACAGUAUUUCGUUGUCACGGCAGGACCCAGUGGUGCAUGAAGCUGGGCUGUUGUGGCAAGGCACAGGUGACUUUUAGUAAGUUUAGUUCAUGUUGUAUGAAACAUUUCAAAGUAAAAGGCUUCCAAAAGCGUGUAAGAAACUUGGAGAAGAUCACGAAAAUGGGCCAAAGACAGCAGUAAGCGCUUUUCUGUCCGGCAACUGAAAGGCAAUAAAGGAAAGCCAGUAGAGAUCAUUAGUAUCACCUUCAACGAACGGCAAAUGGAACAACUGUAGAAGAAGAGCUAAAGAAGAACCAACCUUAAUAGAUUAAUCGUUGCAUUUUUCCUUCAGUACAAAAAAAAGCGAGAAGCGAGUACCAAGCUAAUAGAUUCGAUAUCGUCCACUGUACUAGACUCCUGACAUGGCAAUCAAAUAGAAAUUAAUAAAUUAUCGAACAAGAAAGAGAAACGUUCCAGAAAGUUGUAUCAUAUCAGUCUCUCUAACGCGUGCAGAUAAGACAAGCAGGUAAAACUGUUUAGUAAGUAGUAGAAUAGUAAUAAUAGUUUCUGUCAAAACAAUUUCCCUUGGCUCUUUUUUUUUUUUCGUUAAACGUGAAAUGGCCAUCUCAUUUUUGAGAAGUGUGAAUUUUCCAUUUUCUUCUUUGUGAAAGAUGAUAUUGACUUCCCCUUCACCAACCUCUUUCUAAAAAAAAUGAUUUUUUUUAUUUAAAAAAGGUGCUUACGUCAUUUCAAAACUACAAUUCAAAUUUCGCACCACUAAAGUAAGAAGCAAUUUACUUUUAAGUGAAUGUAAGAUUUGGCUUUACCCCUGAUUGAAUAUCUACCUAUUACCUACCUUUGGUUGUUUAUAAGAAACCUGCAACAAAGGAUUGUACACUGUAUAACGUACAAUUUUCUUUUAGUUUUUGUAACUUCUUUUUAUCCUAUGUAUUAGUUCAGUGUAAAUUAUAUUUACCUUUUCUUUGCCUUUCCUUUAUCUGUGAGUAAGAGGCAGCCAACUUGAAAGCUCUGCCGCUUUGGCUGCUGCACACGUAUUUAAAACUCAUAUAUCUCUUUGUGUUAUAACGUAGAUUUGUUUUCUACUGCUUUCUGUAUCUUAUUUUUUUAUGUAAUCAAAAGAGUGUGAAUAAAGAUUUGACUUGAUUUGAUUUGA